rnacentral:rRNA from 1 species
AGAGUUUGAUCACUGGCUCAGGACGAACGCUGGCGGCGUGCCUAAUGCAUGCAAGUCGGGCGCAGGCGCUGGGAAACUGGCGCUUGAGCGGCGGACGGGUGAGGAACACGUGGGGGAUCGAUCCGGGGGAGGGGCAUAGCGGGCCGAAAGGCGCGGUAAUUCCGCGUACGCCGUCGCGCAGCAAGGCGCGACGGGAAAGGGAGGGCAACCUCGCGCCCCCGGCCGAACCCGCGGCCCAUUAGCUAGUUGGGAGGGGAAGGGCCUCCCAAGGCGACGAUGGGUAGCCGGCCUGAGAGGGUGACCGGCCACACUGGGACUGAGACACGGCCCAGACUCCUACGGGUGGCAGCAGCAGGGAAUCUUCCCCAAUGGGCGCAAGCCUGAGGGAGCAACGCCGCGUGAGUGAUGACGGCCUUCGGGUUGUAAAGCUCUGUCAGUCGGGACGAACGGCCGCCGGGAGGCGGCGCUGACGGUACCGACGGAGGAAGCCCCUGCUAACUACGUGCCAGCAGCCGCGGUAAGACGUAGGGGGCAAGCGUUGUCCGGAAUUACUGGGCGUAAAGGGCGUGUAGGCGGCGCGGUACGUGGGGCCCGAAAGCCCCCCGCUCAACGGGGGGAGGCGGUUCCAAACGGCCGGGCUGGAGGGCAGGAGAGGUGCGCGGAAUUCCCGGUGGAGCGGUGAAAUGCGUAGAGAUCGGGAAGAACACACGUGGCGAAGGCGGCGCACUGGCCUGGCCCUGACGCUGAGGCGCGAAAGCGUGGGGAGCGAACGGGAUUAGAUACCCCGGUAGUCCACGCCGUAAACGAUGGAUACUAGGUGUCGGCGGGGUCCACCCGGCGGUGCCGGAGCUAACGCACUAAGUAUCCCGCCUGGGGAGUACGGCCGCAAGGUUGAAACUCAAGGGAAUUGACGGGGGCCCGCACAAGCAGUGGAGCAUGUGGUUUAAUUCGACGCAACGCGCAGAGCCUUACCAGGCCUUGACGGUCGGCGCAACCCCGGGAAACCGGGGGGCCCUUCGGGGGACGCCGGCCCAGGUGCUGCAUGGUUGUCGUCAGCUCGUGUCGUGAGAUGUUGGGUUAAGUCCCGCAACGAGCGCAACCCUUGUGGUGUGUUGCCCUCGGGCCCUUCGGGGUGCCGGGCACUCACGCCAGACUGCCGGUGACAAACCGGAGGAAGGUGGGGAUGACGUCAAAUCCGCAUGGCCUUGAUGGCCUGGGCUACACACGUGCUACAAUGGCGCCGACAAUGGGCCGCGAACGCGCGAGCGGGAGCGAAUCUCAUCAAACGGCGUCGCAGUUCGGAUCGCAGGCUGCAACUCGCCUGCGUGAAGCCGGAAUUGCUAGUAAUCGCCCAUCAGCAUGGGGCGGUGAAUUCGUUCCCGGGCCUUGUACACACCGCCCGUCACACCACGAGAGUGGUCCACACCCGGAGCCGCUGCCGGAACCCGCAAGGGGCCGAGGCGUCGACGGUGGGGGGCGCGAUUGGGGUGAAGUCGUAACAAGGUAACC